rnacentral:rRNA from 1 species
AGUUUUGAUCAUGGCUCAGGAUGAACGCUGGCGGCGUGCCUAAUACAUGCAAGUCGAGCGAACAGAUGGGAAGCUUGUUCCUGAUACGUUAGCGGCGGACGGGUGAGUCACGUGUGGAUCACCCACGUAUGAGAGUGAGAUCUCUGCGAGAACCGGAAGCUAAUACGAUGUAACAUUUAGACCCGCAGGUCUCUCAAGUGAAGGACGGUUGUGCACUCACUUCUAGAGGGACCCCCGCCGUAUUAGUAAGUUGGUAAGGUAACGGUCUCCCAAGCAGACAAUACGUACCCGCCUGAGGAGGGUGUUCGCCCCCACUGGAAUUGAGCCACGGUCCAGAUUCUUCGGGGAGGCGCCAGUAGGGAUUUUUCGCCAAUGGGGGAAAUCCUGAGGGAGCACCGCCGGGUGAUUGAUGAAGGGUUUGGGUUGGUAAAAUUUUGUUAUUAGGGAAGACCAAACCCGUAAGUAAAGGUGCACGUCUUGACGGUACCUAAUCAGAAAGCCACGGCUAACUACGUGCCAGCAGCCGCGGUAAUACGUAGGUGGCAAGCGUUAUCCGGAAUUAUUGGGCGUAAAGGGCGCGCAGGCGGUUUCUUAAGUCUGAUGUGAAAGCCCCCGGCUCAACCGUGGAGGGUCAUUGGAAACUGGGAAACUUGAGUGCAGAAGAGGAAAGUGGAAUUCCAUGUGUAGCGGUGAAAUGCGCAGAGAUAUGGAGGAACACCAGUGGCGAAGGCGACUUUCUGGUCUGUAACUGACGCUGAGGAGCGAAAGCGUGGGGAUCAAACAGGAUUAGAUACCCUGGUAGUCCACGCCGUAAACGAUGAGUCUAAGUGUUAGGGGGUUUCCGCCCCUUAGUGCUGCA